rnacentral:rRNA from 1 species
GAAUUUUGGACAAUGGGCGAAAGCCUGAUCCAGCAAUGCCGCGUGCAGGAUGAAGGCCUUCGGGUUGUAAACUGCUUUUGUCCGGAACGAAAAGAUUUGGGUUAAUACCCUGGAGUCAUGACGGUACCGUAAGAACAAGCACCGGCUAACAACGUGCAAGCAGCCGCGGUAAUACGUAGGGUGCAAGCGUUAAUCGGAAUUACUGGGCGUACAGCGUGCUGAGGCGGUUUUGUCAUACAGAGGUGAAAUCCCCGGGCUCAACCUGGGAACUGCCUUUGUGACUGCAAGGCGAGAGUACGGCAGAGGGGGGUGGAAUUCCGCGUGUAGCAGUGAAAUGCGUAGAUAUGCGGAGGAACACCGAUGGCGAAGGCAACCCCCUGGGCCUGUACUGACGCUCAUGCACGAAAGCGUGGGGAGCAAACA